ACACACACACACACACACACACACACACACACACACACACACACUGAGUAACAACAAUAACAUUUUCUCAGCCAGUCAGCCUCAGUUACCAUCAAGCAGUCAGAGGGAGAGGACGUGUCUGUCUCCCUCUCUCUCACCCUCUCUCUCUCUCUCUCUCUCUCCCUCUCCCUCUCCCUCUCUCACACCAGCUGACCUUGAGUUUACGAGAGGACAAGUAACAGGUUUCCACGGAUUAGAGAGAGAGAAGAGGAAAUAA